CUUGGUUAAUGCAGAUUUUAUUCCUUUCUAUUUUUACAAUUAGGUUACUAAAUCUCUCAGAAUCUGCAUCUCAAUAAACAGUUGCAAAAGAUCAUCACUGUCAGAACAUUUUAAUUUUGCUCAUAAUUGAAUGGCUGAGCAAGUUGUAUCAAUAAUAGUUCUGAAAACUGCUGGGUUGUUAUUUGUUAAUUCAGAAAUAUAAUUCUUUGAACUGUUCUGCUGCUGUAAAUUUUAUAACUAUCUCUAUUACAGACCCUUCCUCGUCCUCCUCCUCCUUCUCCUCCCACUGGGAUUUGGAAAAAAUAAAAAUGGACGGGCCAACAAGACAGUGUAGCAACAACCAGAGGAAUUCUUACAGAAGGAUGGAUGGACAGAGGGAUGGGCGUGGUGAUAGAUAGUAAUAGAUUCAGUGAUUGAUAGUGCGCUGUUAGUGAAUUGUUUAAAGCAAAGUCCAUUGGCUCAAUGCUCAAAUGCUAUUGCUGUCAACAGCUGCAUGGUCAAUAGUGAGUGACAGAAUUACUCACUGCUGUGCUGAAUAAAGUGCUUACAGUACA